CCUACGGGUGGCUGCAGUGGGGAAUAUUGGACAAUGGGCGAAAGCCUGAUCCAGCCAUGCCGCGUGUGUGAAGAAGGCCUUCGGGUUGUAAAGCACUUUCAGUGGGGAAGAAAGCCUUGGGGCUAAUACCCUCGAGGAAGGACAUCACCCACAGAAGAAGCACCGGCUAACUCCGUGCCAGCAGCCGCGGUAAUACGGAGGGUGCGAGCGUUAAUCGGAAUUACUGGGCGUAAAGCGCGCGUAGGCGGUCUGAUAAGCCGGUUGUGAAAGCCCCGGGCUCAACCUGGGAACGGCAUCCGGAACUGUCAGGCUAGAGUGCAGGAGAGGAAGGUAGAAUUCUCGGUGUAGCGGUGAAAUGCGUAGAGAUCGGGAGGAAUACCAGUGGCGAAGGCGGCCUUCUGGACUGACACUGACGCUGAGGUGCGAAAGCGUGGGUAGCAAACAGGAUUAGAUACCCGGGUAGUC
rnacentral:rRNA from 1 species